UGGCGGACGGGUGAGUAAUGUCUGGGAAACUGCCUGAUGGAGGGGGAUAACUACUGGAAACGGUAGCUAAUACCGCAUAACGUCGCAAGACCAAAGAGGGGGACCUUCGGGCCUCUUGCCAUCGGAUGUGCCCAGAUGGGAUUAGCUAGUAGGUGGGGUAACGGCUCACCUAGGCGACGAUCCCUAGCUGGUCUGAGAGGAUGACCAGCCACACUGGAAUGAGACACGGUCCAG
rnacentral:rRNA from 1 species